GCAAUUUCUAGCCAUAUAAUGCAUUUUAUAUGUUAUGUUCAAGAAUAUAUUCAUUUUUAUACAUAUUUUUACCUAAUAUGUGCAUUUUUGUCAACUCUGAUUGGUGAAACAAUUGCAUCACAAAAUUUGGUUAAGUGCACUUCUCAUAUUGUUUCAGAAAGUACGAAUUUGACAAAUUCCGCUUUGUGAAAGAGCCCCACCAUUACUAGGGAGAAGCAAGGCUUUUAUAACAUAGAUAUAAUUUUGGGGGGGAAAGAUAUUGUUAUCAACUUAGGAUCCACACCAGUCCCACAUUUUUCUUCUUCUGAAGUUCCCACUCUCCCUGUUUCAACAACAACAAACACCUCUUUUGCAGAAAAUGAAGAUUUUUUGAGUUUAAAUAUCUCCAGCAAAGGAAAGACCCCCACCUCCUGAGGAACUGUAGCUUACUUCUCACAAAGCUACAAUUCUCAGCACUUAACUAACUACAGCUAUCAGAAUUCUUUCCAGGGGGCGGUCAUCUUUACAUUUACAGCAUGUGCACAGCUUCACUGUCAAACCACAUUUAUCGUUAGGGAGUUUUGCCUAAACAGAGAUCUAAAAUCUGCUUUCCUGCCAUUUUUACCUGUUGGUUCUAGUCCUGAUCUCCAGAGCAACAGAGAGGAAGCCUAUUUCAUACUCUGCAAUAACAGCCCUUCCGAUAUUUGAAGACCAGUAUUAAGAUGUAUUCAUUUAGAGUUUAUUUACUUCGAAGCAGCAUAAAGUUUGGUAAGAAAAGCAAAUCAACAUUUGGUCUACAUGUGGGCAUGUAUACGUGUGUGGAGAUGUGAACAAGCACAUGGGCAGCUAAAUUCAGUUAAAUAUUUUUUACUUAGACCGUUAUGAGAUUUUUAACACAGUAAUUCAGGACCAAAUUCGAUGUGAUGUUGAUAGCAUGGUGCACAGGGAAAGAUUCGACCAUAUCCCCCACUUCAAAAUCCAAUGAAAAUUUUCCCUCCCCAAAACUCCUAUUAGUUCUGAAGGGGAGAGCUCCCACUGGCUGCUUCAGAGGUAAUUUUAUCAGGAGCAGUCAGGGGGAUUGAAAACAGUCCCAAUAUCCUCUCCUCCCCCCCAUAAUGGCUUUUUGACCUUUUUUAAAACUGUGCACAUUACUUGCUUUCACCCAGAUGUUAUAUCUCCUUUGGCCCGCAGUUAACUAUUUUGUUAUGCAUUUAGAAUUAACCAGGAAUUAAUUAUGUCUUUUUUCCAUACACUCACAUGAUCUUCUGUUACUACUGCUUUUUCACCACUAUUUAGAUACAAAGGUGUGCACAAGAUGUUGUUUCUAAUAUUUCCUGUGACUCAUUACCAUGAUAAUUAAUGGCAAAAAGGACAAUGUGUUCCAUAAUAAGCACUGUGAAAUACUCAUAUGCCUUACUGAAUUUCUUGGCCAUGGCUCACAUUGCGUGAUCGUUUACAGGGUAUGGAAACGAAUAAAGUAUUUAUCAAAAAUAA